rnacentral:rRNA from 1 species
AGAGUUUGAUUAUGGCUCAGGAUGAACGCUAGCUACAGGCUUAACACAUGCAAGUCGAGGGGCAGCAUUGGAGUAGCAAUACUCAGAUGGCGACCGGCGCACGGGUGAGUAACACGUAUCCAACCUGCCGCUUACUCGGGGAUAGCCCUUCGAAAGAAAGAUUAAUACCCGAUGGUAUAAAGAGUUCGCAUGUUCUCUUUAUUAAAGAAUUUCGGUAAGCGAUGGGGAUGCGUUCCAUUAGAUAGUUGGCGGGUAACGGCCCACCAAGUCUACGAUGGAUAGGGGUUCUGAGAGGAAGGUCCCCCACAUUGGAACUGAGACACGGUCCAAACUCCUACGGGAGGCAGCAGUGAGGAAUAUUGGUCAAUGGACGAGAGUCUGAACCAGCCAAGUAGCGGUAGAAGGAUGACUGCCCUAUGGGUUGUAAACUUCUUUUAUAAGGGAAUAAAGUGAGGGACGUGUCCCUUUUUGUAUGUACCUUAUGAAUAAGGAUCGGCUAACUCCGUGCCAGCAGCAGC